GAUGAACGCUGGCGGCGUGCCUAAUACAUGCAAGUCGAACGGAGUUGUUGUAGCAAUACGGCAACUUAGUGGCGAACGGGUGAGUAACGCGUUGGUGACCUGCCCCGAAGAGGGGGAUAACAGUCCGAAAGGAUUGCUAAUACCCCAUGUGGUUACCGGUUUUAGAAUCCGGCAACUAAAGUCGUAAGACACUUUGGGAGGGACCUGCGUCCCAUCAGCUAGUUGGUGAGGUAACGGCCCACCAAGGCUACGACGGGUAGGGGACCUGAGAGGGUGGUCCCCCACACUGGCACUGAAACACGGGCCAGACACCUACGGGUGGCUG
rnacentral:rRNA from 1 species